CCUGACUGCUAUCGGAUUGAUACUAAGCCAUGCGAGUCAUUGUAGCAAUACAAGGCAGACGGCUCAGUAACGCGUAGUCAAUCUACCCUAUGGACGGGAAUAACCUCGGGAAACUGAGUAUAAUGCCCGAUAGAACACUAUGCCUGGAAUGGUUUGUGUUCCAAAUGAUUUAUCGCCGUAGGAUGGGACUGCGGCCUAUCAGUUUGUUGGUGAGGUAGUGGCCCACCAAGACUAUUACAGGUACGGGCUCUGAGAGGAGUGGCCCGGAGAUGGGUACUGAGACACGGACCCAGGCCCUAUGGGGCGCAGCAGGCGAGAAAACUUUGCAAUGUGCGAAAGCACGACAAGGUUAAUCCGAGUGGUUUCUGCUAAAGGAACCUUUUGACAGUCCUAAAAACACUGUUGAAUAAGGGGUGGGCAAGUUCUGGUGUCAGCCGCCGCGGUAAAACCAGCACCUCAAGUGGUCAGGAUGAUUAUUGGGCCUAAAGCAUCCGUAGCCGGCUCUGUAAGUUUUCGGUUAAAUCUGUACGCUUAACGUACAGGCUGCUGGGAAUACUGCAGGGCUAGGGAGUGGGAGAGGUAGACGGUACUCAGGAGGAAGUGGUAAAAUGCUUUGAUCUCCUGAUGACCACCUGUGGCGAAGGCGGUCUACCAGAACACGUCCGACGGUGAGGGAUGAAAGCUGGGGGAGCAAACCGGAUUAGAUACCCGGGUAGUCCCAGCCGUAAACUAUGCAAACUCAGUGAUGCAUUGGCUUAUGGCCAGUGCAGUGUUGCAGGGAAGCCGUUAAGUUUGCCGCCUGGGAAGUACGUACGCAAGUAUGAAACUUAAAGGAAUUGGCGGGGGAGCACCACAAGGGGUGAAGCCUGCGGUUC
rnacentral:rRNA from 2 species